rnacentral:tRNA from 1 species
CGGUGUGUAGCGCAGCCUGGUAGCGCAUCUGCAUGGGGUGUAGAGGGUCGGAGGUUCGAAUCCUCUCACACCGACCA